UUCGCCCUUUUUGAGAAGGGGACGAGAAGGAAAGCCAAAGCCCUCUUUCCUCUUUGCCGUGUCUUAUCCGAGCAGAGCAAAGAGGAAAUCGAGGUUGUGCAAUGGAGAGCGCUUUCCUAUCUUCCAUCGUAUCAAAAACCAGCCAAGCAGUGAGCUGUGUUCGCAGAUGGGCAGUCUCGCCGUCUUCAUCAUCGGAUCCACGCAGCCAUGUCUUGAAAGAUCUGGAGAAGCUGGAGAGAACAUUGAAGAGGAUCCGGGCAGUGCUCCAUGACGCGGAGGAGAGGGAGAUACGAGAGGAAUCCGUCAAGCUCUGGCUGAAGGAGCUUAAAGAAGUGGCUUAUGAAGCAGACGACGUGCUGGACGAGUACCAGUACGAGGUACUGCGAGCCCAAGUGGAAGGCCGAGCUUCCCGCAACGGGAAGCGAGUGGAAGGGGACGAUGCGAAAGAGGUUUCAAUUCCAGACGGCAUGGGGGAUAGAAUCAGGGACAUCAGGGAGAGGUUCGAUGAGAUCUCGCAGGAUCGGGAACGCCUCCGUUUAAGAGAGGGAGAUGGAGAGCGACGGGUCCUCGAAGCUCCGUACCCAGCACCAACCAGCCACAAGAUGGAUGAGUCGGCUUUUUAUGAAAGGGAGCGCGACAAGCAGGAGGUAAUUAAUUUGUUGUUUUCAGACGGUGUGGGAAAUGGUAUCUCCGUGGUUCCGAUUGUCGGCAUGGGGGGACUGGGAAAAACCACCAUCGCUCAGCUGGUCUACAACGACUCCAAGGUAAAAGAAAAUUUUGAUUUGACUGGAUGGGUCUGUGUAUCUGAUGAUUUCGAUGUUAAAAGGCUAGCGAAGGACAUCAUUGAGUCUUUUACUAAAAAUCAAUGUCAUCUUGCACAACUAAGCACACUUCAAGAUACUCUCGAGAAGAAGGUGAAGGGAAAGAAAGUGUUGCUCGUGCUCGACGAUGUAUGGAAUGAGCAACAAAGCUAUUGGGAGUCCUUAAGAAACCCCUUUGUUGGUGCAGAAACAGUAAGAAUUAUCGUGACCUGUAGGAAUGAUUCGGUCGCCGAAAUCAUGCAGACAGUGCGCCCUUAUCAUCCUCGCUGCUUGUCUCCAGAGCAGUCUUGGUCAUUAUUCAGGCAUUAUGCAUUUCGUGGUCGGAACCUUGAAGAACAAGUACGAUUGACGGAUAUGGGUAAGCAGAUUGUCGAGAAGUGUUCCGGUUUACCAUUGGCUGUGAAGUCAAUUGGAAGCCUUCUGAGAUACACGGCAGAUGAAGAUAGCUGGAUGGAUGUCAUGCAAAGUGAUGUAUGGGAAAUCGAUGAGAAUAAUGAGAUUUUGCCAGCUCUUAGAUUAAGCUAUAGUCGCAUGCCAGCACAUCUAAAACCUUGUUUCGUUUAUUGUUCCAUGUUUCCAAAGGAUUAUGUGUUUGACAAAGAUGAAUUAGUCCGAUUGUGGAUGGCGCAAGGUUACAUCCAAACAUCUCGAGGUACAAGAAGACUCGAAGACAUUGGCAAUGAAUACUUCAUUGACUUACAGAGAAGAUCGUUCUUCGAUUCUCAUUGGUCUAAUUUUAAGAUGCAUGAUAUGAUACAUGAUCUAGCGAAAUCUAUUGCAGGAAAUGAGUGCUGGGCAAUUGUGGAUAAGAAGCUACCGAGUCUCCCCAAUGAGGUUCGCCAUUUAUAUGUGAAAGAUCGAGAGGAAUUUGUGAAAUCACUGCGCUCAUAUAAUUUUAGCACCUUACGGACCUUGUUAAAACCGUAUUCGCCUAGAUUUCCAACAGUGAUCCAAGAAUUAAUGCUACUAAGAUUUUUACGGACUCUAGAAUUUUGUUGGGAAAGAAAACAUGAGAUCCCAGAUUUUUUCGGGCACCUGAAGCACCUGCGCAACUUAUAUAUCAUUUCCUACUAUAGUGAGAAGUUCCCUGAUUCAGUAUGCCUCCUUUAUCACCUACAGAUAUUGGUACUUGAUUGCAAGAGUCUUGUAGAGUUACCAGAUGAACUAGGUAACCUUACUAACCUCAGAUACUUUAAAUUGUUCAUACAUUUUAUUAAAAGGCUGCCUGGAACAGUUUGUCAGCUCCGCAACCUGCAGACAUUGGUACUUGAUUGCCCACAUCUUGCAGAGUUACCAGAUGACCUAGGCAAUUGUACCAACCUACGAUACUUACAUAUCACAUCCAACAAAAUUGAGAAGCUCCCUAAAUCAAUAUGCCUCCUUUAUAACCUACAGGCAAUGGAACUUGACUGUCAGAAUCUUGCAGAGUUACCAUAUGGCCUAGGCAACCUUACCAACCUCCACCACCUACAAAUUGCGAACAGGGUAAUUCUUUGCCUGCCAGCUGGGAUCGGAAAACUAACAAAACUUCAGAUCUUUCUUGGAUGUUAUAAAGUGCAGGGUGGGAUAGGAGUGCUGAAGGACUUCAUGAAUCUCCAAGGAUUUCUCAGCAUCUCAGGGCUCAGAAACUUGGUAAACAUAGAGAAUGCCAAGGAUGCUGGUCUUAAACAUAAGCAUAAACUUAAGGAGUUGUUUCUAUAUUGGAAUGCGGUCGACUGCAAAAAUGAUCCGUAUCAUAACAGAGGACUACAUCUAGAAGCUUUUUCAGAGGAAAAUAAGGAUAUUCCAGCAGAUGAAAAAAGGGAGGAAGCCAUGCUCGAGUAUCUCCAACCUCACGCCAACCUCGAAAUUUUGUCAAUACAAGGGUAUGGUGGUUCCAAAUUUCCAAAAUGGGUGGGAGAUCCUUUCUCCUUUGGAUCACUUAAAAAUUUCACUAUAGAGAAUUGUAAAAAAAUAAGCUCUCUUGAUCUAUACAUUCAUGAGUCUCUUGGAAAUCUGGACGUACCCAUCUCAACAUCCAUGCUUGAGAGUGUGGACAUUUCUGGUUGCCUGCAACUCACAUCCAUAGCAGGGCUGCAUCAUCUCCAUUUGCUUAAAUAUCUGAAAAUAUACAAUUGUCCUCAACUCCGGCUUUUAUCCGAGGAAGGACUGCCAUCCAAUGUUCGACAUUUGCAUAUUGGGGAGUGCCAGCAAUUGACAUUAGUGUUGCAAAGCAUUACUUAUCUCAAUGAAUUAAUUAUACAAAAUUGCCCUAAACUUAAUAUAAUGGCAAAAGAUCAGCUCUCAUCUUUUUUGCCUUUCAGAGUGCAAAUUAUUGAUUACCCUGGAUUGAGUAACUGGUGCCAAGUACAAAAAAUCAACUGCAUUCAGGUCGCUUCAGGAAACAAGCUGACAAUAUCGAACACAUGGGAGAACAUAAUGCAUGCAUUUGAUGAUUUGACAUCCGUUGAGCAUUUUUGCUUCAGUAAUUCUUGGAAACUCUUUCAAGAAUUAUCCAUAUUUGAAGAGCUAACCAUAUGGGAUUGCACAGACAUCCCACUAUAUUGGUGGCCCAAACUCGCAUCUCUUCGAAGCUUGGUUAUAAAGAACUGUCAUGGAGUCCAAGUCUGGGAAGAUAAACUGGUCCCAUCCAUGCUCAAGUCCUUGUUGGUUGAUAGUUGUGAGGAGCUAACAUUUUUGCUAUUGGUGCACCAGAACCGAUAUGCAUUUGAGGAGCUGCAGCUUGUGAAUUGCCCUAAGCUCGAACGGGUGGAAGGGCUGAAUUUUCUUUUCCACAUAAAAAUCUUAAGAAUAGAACGAUGCCCUCGACUUCGCCUUCCACAAGAUGAUUUGCCCCAUCUCAUAUUUCUUCGAAGCUUGGUUAUAAAGGAUUGUCCGGGAGUCCGAGUCUUGCAAGAUAGACUGCUCCCAUCCACGCUCGAGUCCUUGGUGGUUGAUAGUUAUGAGGAGCUAACAUUUUUGCGGUUGGCACAGCAGAACCGAUAUGCAUUUGAGGAGCUGCAGCUUGUCAAUUGCUCUAAACUCGAACGGGUGGAAGGACUGAAUUACUUUUUCCUCCUAAAAAACUUAAGAAUAGAACGAUGCCCUCGACUCCAGCUUCCACAAGAUGAUCUGCCCCAGCUCAUAUUUCUUCGAAGCUUGGUUAUAAAGGACUGUCCAGGAGUCCGAGUCUUGCAAAAUAGACUGCUCCCAUCCACUCUCGAGUCCUUGGUGGUUGAUAGUUGUGAGGACCUAACAUUUCUGUGCUUGGCACAGCAGAACCAAUAUGCAUUUGAGGAGUUGCAGCUUAUAAAUUGCCCUAAGCUCGAAUGGGUGGAAGGGCUGAAUUGCCUUUUUCUCACAAAAAUCUUAAGAAUAGAACGAUGCCCUCGACUCCGGCUUCCACAAGAUGAUCGGCUCUCAUCUAUGCCUUACACAGUGAAAAUUGUUGAUUGCCUUGGAUUGAGUAAUUGGUGCCAAAUACAAAGAAUCAAUUGCAUUCAGGUCGCUUCAGGCAACAAGCUGACUACAUCAAACACAUGGGAGAACAUAAUGCAUGGGUUUGAUGAUUUGACAUCCGUUGAGCAUCUUUGUUUCAGUAAUUCUUGGGAACUCUUUCUGCGAAGAGACUCCAUAUCCGUACUUGAAGAGCUAACCAUAUGGGGUUGCACAAAAAUCCCACCACUACGGUGCCUGCCCAACCUCACAUCUCUUCGAAGCUUGGUUAUAAAGGACUGUCCUGGAGUCCGAGUCAUGGAAGAUAAAUUGUUCCCAUCCACGCUCAAGUUCUUGGUGGUUGAUAGUUGUGAGGGCCUAACAUUUUUGAUGUUGGCGCAGCAGAACCGAUAUAAAUUUGAGGAGCUGCAGCUUGUGAAUUGCCCCAAGCUCAUAUGGGUGGAAGGACUGAAUUGCCUUUUCUUCCCAAAAAUCUUAAGAAUAGACCGAUGCCCUCAACUCCAGUUUCCACAAGAUGAUCGACAAACAUCUAUUCCUCCACAUGUCGAAAUUGCAGAGGAAACAGAGAACAAAGAAACAAUUGAUGAUGGAACCAAGGAGAAACAAGUGUUGGAUUGUGUGAUGAUUGAGCAUGCUAACAGUGCUGUAUCUUCAAUGUUUGAUGUCGCAGAUGAUUGCAGCAUGGGAUGUUGCAGCUCACAGCCCCUGGUACAAAUCACUGCAGAACCAUUGCAGGCAAACAAUAGUGUUGUAUCUUCAAUAUCUGAUGACGUAACUGAUUGCAACAUGGAUCAAUUCCUACAGCUUGGGUUCCUUUUUGGUUGCAGCUCGCAGUCCCCACUAUAAUACAAUGCAAAACCAUCGAAUUGAACAUGUGCUGGCAUGGCACACACACUGUGCCGGUUGGUGUCUGGCAAGGGGGUCAUACCUGGGGUUCUAAUUCUGCAGUCUUCCAUUUCCAGUGGGCAGACAAGGAGCUUUAGGCAAUGUGAGAGGUUGUUGCUGUCAAUCCACAAUUACCUCCUCAAGAAUGGAUUUGAAGGGAAGACUUUCUUGGUGCAAUGCUGUAAGUUAUGCAAGGAAUGGUUGGCAAAUUUCUUACAGUUGUGUUAUUGUUAUGUUUGUUGUGUUGGAUAUUCAUGAACUCUGGAGUUUUUAUUAAGUAAAUCUAACUCCCUAGGAGUCUAUAUACUCUAUGAUCUUCCAAAUGUAACUCUUGCACUUUAUGAUCUUAGAAUACUAGAGUAUGGCAUCCAUGAUGCAUGUGGUCUCGCAUAUGCAGAGACAUAGAGCUUUGUAAUCGCACCCAACUGUAGAGUUUGCAGAACUCUGACCUUCUGUAUGUAGUUGCUGUAAGACCUAAUGUAUCUGCAGCUUCGCUAAUUAAGUGGAGUUUUCUGAGAUGGGAAUUUA